CGUUCUCCGGAUAAUAACAUUUCUAUAUGUAUACUUUGAGAAGUCGUUAUUGUUUUCGAUAGAGGCGCAAAUAAAUCGACCAAUGAACGUUGCCGCUCAUACAACAAAUCAACUAACGAAUAUGAAUAACAAUCAUGAAAGCAUGAAGCGGAAAAAACUGCAGCGGCGGACGGUGUGCUGUGACCGACUGUGACCACUUGUGAGCUCGCUUGUUGACAAAUAAAAAUGCAUUUUUCCUGAACCGUUCUUCAAUCCCGCUCCUCUUUGCUUCUUUU